CAGGUCCUUGUGCUUUCACAGCAGGCGGCUAAACCACUGAGCUAAAUCCCUGGCCCUUUAUCUUUCAUUUCUUCAGUCUCAUCAUCACCCACUUCUUUAUCUCAUUCCUUCUCCACAAAGGGAGUAAUGGGACAGCCAACAAACUGAGAAUAUUUCUUCAAAUCUCUUUUAUUUUUCUUUCUUCCACGUACUUAGUUUGGUCUGCUUUCAGAUGCAGGAUAACCUUUGCUCCUCUGCCACGGAGUUCACCUUGUCAGUCCUCAUUGAAGGACCUGCCUGCUGAAGGUUCCAGGCAUACUGCUCAUCAUCGCUUUGCUUGGUGGUCACAGUCACUCUCUCAGCAACCAAGUGGAAACCCACACCUGACCGGCCAGUCAUGGAGUUGUCAGUGCCAACCUGCAAAGCCUCCAUGAAGGCCUUGGUCUCCAACUUGGUGAUGGUGCUGAAGUCAUCCAUCAAGUUAACCCUGGUCAUUCCGAUCCCAGUAUCCACGAUGUCUUGGAGGCUAGAAGACCAUGACCAAUGGACUGGAAGGGUCACCUCCUUUUGAAGACUUAGAGGAAGGAUAUGUUCCACGCCUGUCUGUCCUAGCUCCUAGAGAGAGCCAGUGAUGUUUGGCUUUCCUUAAUUGUACAAGCACCGGUCUCUGCCUUCGCCCUGAGUGCAUGACUGAAUUCUCCGUCUGAAUUUCUCCCUGUUAUAAGGACUCCAGCUGUAUUGGAUUGGGGUCAAUUCUAUUGACCUCAUCUUUGCUAUUUAUAUUCUCAGAGAUGUUAUUUCUAUAUAAAGUUUUAUUCUGAAAUACUGUGCUUGGGAUCUUCAACAUAUAAAUUUUGGAGGACACAAUUCAACCCAUAACAGAAGUCAACCUACAAUGUAUCUGAUCCUCACAGCAGGGCAUGAUCUGCAUUUUCCUGGUGGGUCAGGCUCUGCAAGGCAGGCAGCCUAGAGGUGCCCAGCCAGG
rnacentral:lncRNA from 1 species